rnacentral:rRNA from 1 species
UACAGAGGGUGCAAGCGUUAAUCGGAAUCACUGGGCGUAAAGGGUGCGUAGGCGGGUCUUUAAGUCAGGGGUGAAAUCCUGGAGCUCAACUCCAGAACUGCCUUUGAUACUGAAGAUCUUGAGUUCGGGAGAGGUGAGUGGAACUGCGAGUGUAGAGGUGAAAUUCGUAGAUAUUCGCAAGAACGCCAGUGGCGAAGGCGGCUCACUGGCCCGGUACUGACGCUGAGGUGCGAAAGCGUGGGGAGCAAACAGG